GACGAACGCUGGCGGCGUGCCUAAUACAUGCAAGUUGAGCGCUGAAGGUUGGUACUUGUACCAACUGGAUGAGCAGCGAACGGGUGAGUAACGCGUGGGGAAUCUGCCUUUGAGCGGGGGACAACAUUUGGAAACGAAUGCUAAUACCGCAUAAAAACUUUAAACACAAGUUUUAAGUUUGAAAGAUGCAAUUGCAUCACUCAAAGAUGAUCCCGCGUUGUAUUAGCUAGUUGGUGAGGUAAAGGCUCACCAAGGCGAUGAUACAUAGCCGACCUGAGAGGGUGAUCGGCCACAUUGGGACUGAGACACGGCCCAAACUCCUACGGGAGGCGGCAGUAGGGAAUCUUCGGCAAUGGAGGAAAGUCUGACCGAGCAACGCCGCGUAAGUGAGAAGGGUUUUCGGAUCGAAAAACUCGGUUGGUAGGAAGGACCGUGGGUGGGAGUGGAAAGCCCAUAAAGGAAGGGUAACAACCAAGAAGGGAACGCCUAACUACGG
rnacentral:rRNA from 1 species